rnacentral:rRNA from 1 species
GACGAACGCUGGCGGCGUGCCUAAUACAUGCAAGUCGAACGAACAGCGACUUGCACUUGUUCAAGUCAAUGUUAGUGGCGCACGGGUGAGUAACACGUGGAGAACCUACCCUUAAGCGGGGGAUAACCAUUGGAAACGAUGACUAAUACCGCAUAGAAUCACAGAUCACAUGAUCAAUGAAGGAAAGACGGCUUCGGCUGUCACUUAAGGAUGGCUCCGCGGUGCAUUAGCUAGAUGGUGGGGUAAAGGCCUACCAUGGCAAUGAUGCAUAGCCGACCUGAGAGGGUGAUCGGCCACAUUGGGACUGAGACACGGCCCAAACUCCUACGGGAGGCAGCAGUAGGGAAUCUUCCGCAAUGGACGCAAGUCUGACGGAGCAACGCCGCGUGUGUGAAGAAGGUCUUCGGAUCGUAAAGCACUGUUGUUAGAGAAGAACGACCGGUAGAGUAACUGUUACCGGAGUGACGGUAUCUAACCAGAAAGCCACGGCUAACUACGUG